rnacentral:rRNA from 1 species
AGUGAACGCUGGCGGUAGGCCUAACACAUGCAAGUCGAACGGCAGCACAGUAAGAGCUUGCUCUUACGGGUGGCGAGUGGCGGACGGGUGAGGAAUACAUCGUAAUCUACUUUUUCGUGGGGGAUAACGUAGGGAAACUUACGCUAAUACCGCAUACGACCUACGGUUGAAAGCAGGGGAUCUUCUGACCUUGCGCGAUUGAAUGAGCCGAUGUCGGAUUAGCUAGUUGGCGGGGUAAAGGCCCACCAAGGCGACGAUCCGUAGCUGGUCUGAGAGGAGGAUCAGCCACACGGGAACUGAGACACGGUCAAGACUCCUAAGGGAGGCAGCAGUGGGGAAUAUUGGACAAUGGGCGCAAGCCUGAUCCAGCCAUACCGCGUGGGUGAAGAAGGCCUUCGGGUUGUAAAGCCCUUUUGUGGGGAAAGAAAAGCAGCAGGUUAAUACCCCGCUGUUCUGACGGUACCCAAAGAAUAAGCACCGGCUAACUUCGUG